rnacentral:lncRNA from 1 species
AGAAGAAGUUAUAAUGAAAUAGAACCUGAUGAAUUCGAAAAUACCAGAAGAAGUUACAAUGAGGCAGAACCUGAUGAGUUCGAAAGUACCCGAAGACGAGCCAUAAGUCUUGAAGAUACCGUUGAGGAUAUCG